ACAUGAAGCCACCUAGUACCCUAAAGGCACCACAUCCCAUCUGUUCUUAGAAACUAAACAGGGUCAGCUCUAGUUAGUAUUAGGAUGGGAGACCACCAAGAAUGCUGUAAGCUAUAUUUA
rnacentral:rRNA from 1 species